rnacentral:rRNA from 1 species
UACGGAGGGAGCUAGCGUUGUUCGGAAUUACUGGGCGUAAAGCGCGCGUAGGCGGCUUUGUAAGUUAGAGGUGAAAGCCCGGGGCUCAACCCCGGAACUGCCUUUAAAACUGCAUCGCUUGAAUCCAGGAGAGGUGAGUGGAAUUCCGAGUGUAGAGGUGAAAUUCGUAGAUAUUCGGAAGAACACCAGUGGCGAAGGCGGCUCACUGGACUGGUACUGACGCUGAGGCGCGAAAGCGUGGGGAGCAAACGGGG